UUGUUCUAAACUUUAUUGAGAGACACAUGGGCCUAACGUAAACAAUUUCAAAUCCAAGUACUAAAAAAGGAAGGGUUUAUAUAAACAACCAUUUGAAUAUUUUCAUUUAAUAUUCUUCUGUUCUAGGGUUUAAGCUAGGGUUUACAACAAACUUUCGAUCUCAUUUUCGCCACCUGAAUCUGAAACAAUGGCGUUUUGGGGAAUUGAAAUAAAGCCUGGCGAACCCUACGUUCAUCAAUACGAUGAUGAAAAAGGAAGACUUCAUCUGUCACAGGUUUGUUUUUGUUGA
rnacentral:lncRNA from 1 species